AUUGUCCCUGUUUGCAGAUGACAUGAUUGUAUACUUAGAAAACCCCACUGCCUCAGCCCGAAAUCUCCUUAAGCUGAUAAGCAACUUCAGCAAAGUCUCAGGAUACAAAAUCAAUGUGCAAAAAUCACAAGCAUUCCUAUACAACAAUAACGGAAAAACACAGAGCCAAAUCAUGAGUGAACUCCCAUUCACAAUUGCUACAAAAAGAAUUAAAUACCUAGGAAUCCAACUUACAAGGGUUGUGAAGGGCCUCUUCAAGGAGAACUACAAACCACUGCUCAACGAGAUAAAAGAAGACACAAACAAAUGCAAGAACAUUCCAUGCUCAUGUUCGAAAUAUUGAGCACAUCAUACUUCUUUGGGUAGAAACACUUCGCGGCGGAGGGGGGAGCAGGCAGUAAUCCCAGCACUGUUGGAGGCUGAGGCGGGUGGAUCACCUGAGGUCAGGAGUUCAAGACCAGCCUGGCCAACAUGGCGAAACCCCGUCUCUACUAAAAAUACAAAAAAUUAGCCAAGCGUGGUGGUGGGCACCUGUAAUCCCAGCUACUUGUGAGGCUGAAGCAGGAGAAUUGUUUGAACCAGGGAGGUGGUGUUGCAGUAAGCCGAGAUGGCACCUUUGCACUCCAGCCUGGGCAACACAGCAAGACUCUGUCUCGAAAAAGAAAAAAAGAAAGUGGUAGGAAUUUAGACAGACUAGACAUGUUGCCUUAAAUCACUCAGUUAUGUUUCCUUCUCUCGAUAGGGAAAUUUUGUAUUCCCUUUUCUUUACACGAAAAGUCAGAAAGUUCACAUCUACCUUCAUAGUUGAAAGAGGAGGGCCCGGUUUGACUGGGAAUAGCCUUGAAGAUAAUUGUCUCAAAAAAAAAAAAAAAAUAGAACUCCACUUCAAAAUAACCACAGGCCAGAGUGAUCACAAAAGCAAAAGACCUUAAAUGAAUACAAACGAAAUAAAAAGUAGAGACUUAGAUGAGGAGACUCUUUCGGGGCCUAGUGGCUUCUACAACAGCAUGUGUUCAAAAAACUUCUAAGCUUACUCUCUGGUCCUAUCCUGUUUAUUGAGAUGAAUUGCUCAAUUCACCAAAAUUCUCCAGGCCCAAUUUUCAUCUUCUAGGUAGAAGUAAGUUCUGAUAAACCAGCAUGCUAUGAGGAAUACAAAUGAGCAAAAUGAAAGGGACACUCUCUACAGCAUGAAGAGCUAUAAAGUAAUGGGUUGAUAAAGUUGAAAAGUGGCCUUGACAGGUAAUCUAGCUGCAAAAUAUAGAAUAAGGUAAAUUAUUAUCUGCUACCCUGGCAGCUAUUAGAGAGUUGAAAAUACGUGUAUUUGUAUUUCCAGAACACUUUAUCACACAAUUGGGAAGAAUGCAGAAUGGAGAGGGAUUCACUUAUCUACUUCCAUUGCUCCCCUCCAUGAUGGGGGUUUUUGCUUAGUCCGAGAUGAGAGUUGAUUGGGGCAACAGAGGUAGCCAUGAAGUAGAAUGAAGUUUAUUCCUGGAAACAUUCUGCCCAUUCCCAUUCUUACUGCCACCCCCACACUACUGCUCAGCUGCCUCCUCACUAUCUUUUGCCAUAUUUAAUAAAUGUCUUUAUGCUAUCCAUCUUUAUCCAAGGCUUCACACUAUUAACUACUACAAGGAAUGUUUUUCCCCAAGAAAUAAGUUCCUUUCCCCUCUAGACUUACUAACUAAUAGUCAUCACAUCAACUUCAUGUACUCUUCCACAAACAUUUGUGGACCCUAUUAUUUAUUAGGCACCAGCUUUAGCUUGUAGCUUCUCACCUCACCAAAAUCCUUAAUCAGAUAAAAUGCAGCUAGGUUCCAAAAGAUGCUGAUGCUAGAAAUGUCAGUUGUACAGCAGGCCAACAGAGCCUGGUACUUCCAACCCCUAGAGACGGGGCAAUGAGUCAUGUGAGGCAAGGCUGCUGCUUGAAUGGCUGAACAGAGUCAGGACCUGACAGUGGCCCUAGACUUCCUGUUCUCUGAACAGCUGCUGAGCCCAAGCUUUCAUCAGCGGAUGCAUGAGUAGAAGGGAAGUUCAACCCUGGGCAGCUUCCAUGCAGUCAGAGGAUGUGAGUGACCAUCAGAUAUUGAUCUGGCUUAUUCCCUUUAUGCCCCAAAGACAAACAGAUCUUUUCACAAAAGGUAGAAUGAGGUCUAAUGCACACACAUGACCUCAGGUUGAGGAACAGCAAAGUGUUUUCAGAUAUCACCAUUGAUGUUCAGAAAGAUGCUCCAUUUUUCUCCAUGCAGUUUAAGUGCCAUUUUUUCAACCCUCAUAGCACUUGUUAUGAAUAAACGAGGCAGGCUUUGUUACCUACCACCUGAAAUUCUAUAACAAGUAUUUUUCAGCCUUGGCCAGCAUUCUAAAGAGAACAGCUUAAUUCUCACCACUGCAAAGUCCAAGGAAAUCAGAAUAUGAACCCACCGUUGAUAUAUUU
rnacentral:lncRNA from 10 species